AUAUCAAUAAGCGGAGGAAAAGAAACUAACAAGGAUUCCCCUAGUAACUGCGAGUGAAGCGGGAAAAGCUCAAAUUUAAAAUCUGGUGGUCUUUGGCCAUCCGAGUUGUAAUUUAGAGAAGCGUCUUCCGCGCUGGACCGUGCACAAGUCUCCUGGAAUGGAGCGUCAUAGAGGGUGAGAAUCCCGUCUUUGGCACGGAAGCACCAGGGCUUCUGUGAUGCGCUCUCGAAGAGUCGAGUUGUUUGGGAAUGCAGCUCAAAAUGGGUGGUGAACUCCAUCUAAAGCUAAAUAUUGGCGAGAGACCGAUAGCGAACAAGUACCGUGAGGGAAAGAUGAAAAGCACUUUGGAAAGAGAGUGAAACAGUACGUGAAAUUGUUGAAAGGGAAACGCUUGAAGUCAGUCGCGUCGACCGAGACUCAGCCUUGCCUUGGCUUGGUGUACUUCUCGGCUGACGGGUCAGCAUCAAUUUUGCCCCUUGGAUAAUGGCGAGGGAAAUGUGACACCUUUAUGGUGUGUUAUAGUCUCUCGUCGCAUGUAAGGGUUGGGAUUGAGGAACUCAGCACGCGCCUUCGGGCGUCGGGGCUUUGCCUACGAUACGUGCUUAGGAUGUUGGCGUAAUGGCUUUAAACGACCCGUCUUGAAACACGGACCAAGGAGUCUAACAUGCCUGCGAGUGUUCGGGUGGAAAACCCGUGCGCGCAAUGAAAGUGAAAGUUGGGACCUCUGUCGUGGAGGGCACCGACGCCCGGACCAGACCUUCUGUGACGGCUCUGCGGUGGAGCAUGUAUGUUAGGACCCGAAAGAUGGUGAACUAUGCCUGAAUAGGGUGAAGCCAGAGGAAACUCUGGUGGAGGCUCGUAGCGAUUCUGACGUGCAAAUCGAUCGUCAAAUUUGGGUAUAGGGGCGAAAGACUAAUCGAACCAUCUAGUAGCUGG
rnacentral:rRNA from 1 species